rnacentral:rRNA from 1 species
UACGUAGGGUGCGAGCGUUGUCCGGAAUUAUUGGGCGUAAAGGGCUCGUAGGCGGUUUGUCGCGUCGGGAGUGAAAACCCAGGGCUUAACUCUGGGCUUGCUUUCGAUACGGGCAGACUGGAGGUAUGCAGGGGAGAACGGAAUUCCUGGUGUAGCGGUGGAAUGCGCAGAUAUCAGGAGGAACACCAGUGGCGAAGGCGGGUCUCUGGACAGUUCCUGACGCUGAGGCACGAAGGCCAGGGGAGCAAACGGG